rnacentral:rRNA from 1 species
UGAGGAAUUUUGCGCAAUGGGAGCAAUCCUGACGCAGCAACGCCGCGUGGGUGAUGAAGGCCUUCGGGUCGUAAAGCACUGUCAGGUGGGAAGAAUGUCCCGGGACUGAACCGGUUUUGGGAGUGACGGUACCACCAGAGGAAGCACCGGCUAACUCCGUGCAAGCAGCCGCGGUAAUACGGAGGGUGCAAGCGUUAUUCGGCAUUCCUGGGCGUAAAGCGCGUGUAGGCGGUCCUGCAGGUCGGAUGUGAAGGCCCCGGGCGUAACCCGGGAAGUGCAUUGGAAACUGUGGGACUUGAGUACUGGAGAGGAUGGGGGAAGUCCCGGUGUAGAGGUGAAAUUCGUAGAGAUCGGGAGGAAUAUCAGUGGCGAAGGCGCCCAUCUGGACGGUAACUGACGCUGAGACGCGAAAGCGUGGGGAGCAAACA